GGAACGAACGCUGGCGGCAUGCCUAACACAUGCAAGUCGAACGAGACCUUCGGGUCUAGUGGCGCACGGGUGCGUAACGCGUGGGAAUCUGCCCUUGGGUUCGGGAUAACAGUUGGAAACGACUGCUAAUACCGGAUGAUGUCUUCGGACCAAAGAUUUAUCGCCCAGGGAUGAGCCCGCGUAGGAUUAGCUUGUUGGUGAGGUAAGAGCUCACCAAGGCGACGAUCCUAGCUGGUCUGAGAGGAUGAUCAGCCACACUGGGACUGAGACACGGCCCAGACUCCUACGGGAGGCAGCAGUGGGAAUAUUGGACAAUGGGCGAAAGCCUGAUCCAAGCAAUGCCGCGUGAGUGAUGAAGGCCUUAGGUUGUAAAGCUCUUUACCCGGGAUGAUAAUGACAGUACCGGAGAAUAACGCCCGGACUAACUCCGUGCCAGCAGCCGC
rnacentral:rRNA from 1 species